GGGCUGCUCCUAGUACGAGAGGACCGGAGUGGACGAACCUCUGGUGUACCGGUUGUCACGCCAGUGGCAUCGCCGGGUAGCUAUGUUCGGAAGAGAUAACCGCUGAAAGCAUCUAAGCGGGAAACUCGCCUUAAGAUGAGAUAUCCCUGGGGACUAGAUCCCCUUGAAGGGUCGUUCGAGACCAGGACGUUGAUAGGUCAGGUGUGUAAGCGCAGUAAUGCGUUCAGCUAACUGAUACUAAUUGCCCGUAAGGCUUGAUCCUAUAACA
rnacentral:rRNA from 1 species